rnacentral:rRNA from 1 species
GACCUGAGUUCAGGCAAGAACACCCGCUGAACUUAA